CAACACGUGCUAUUCACUCCUUCAUUCCUACUUCCUCUUCCACCGCUUCUUUUGCCUUGCCUCAAAGAAGCAAGGCAAAAACCUGCACUUUUCCAAUAGCUUGACAGAGAUUGCUGUGAAACCCACUGACCUCGAAUUGAAAUUUCUUGGUUACUUGCAGCUAUCUCCAGUGGUUGGAAUUGCUGAUUAUAGAGUGGGUGUUAGCGUUUGAUUUUGGGUUGCCGCUUGUAGCAGUGGAUUGUGGUUUUAUUAGCUGCUGAAAUCUAAGGCCUUGAGGUAGGGAAAACAAAACCUUCUUUAUAGCUUAGAUUCUAAUCUAGUUUGUAUUGGGUGUGAUUGAUAUGAGAGGUUUUUUUUCUACGAAUUCAUAUGAGAUUCUGUUAUGCUUAUGAAUUGGUGGAAUCUUGUUUGUCUUCAUACUGCUACAUAUGUCUCCAUGGCGGAGUUUUACCUCGUUUUGAUCUGCAAUUAUAUAUUUGGGUAAACAAACUUCAAGUACCAAAUGUCCUUGCUUCUUAUUUUCAUUAUAUUUUGGUCUUCUAGUUUUGUUUGAAAUUUGAUUUCGAGUUGAGUAAAAGCUUUGAACCAUGGUUUCUGGAAGACAAGAAAUUAUGCAGAUAACUUGAGCGUCUUGCUAUAAAACCAGAAAAGCUGAUUCCUCUUUGCAUAUACUUCUUAUUGGAGUCUUUUUCCUUUUUCAAUCUUUUAUUUAAUCAUGGUUGGUAGCUGUUCGUAAAGAAAACGGUGUUUGCUGCCCUUGAUUAUUACUUCUUGAUCUUCAAUCUGCCAUUUUGAAUGAUUAGUAAGUCUCCAACUAGUAAAGACUGCUGCUAGUCGAUAAUGUUCUUUUCCUGCUCUUUUGACAUUGGUAUGAAAGAAACCAUAUUGGCAGUCGCGUUCUCUCCUUCCCAAAGUUUUGGCUGCUGCAAUGAUGUUAUAUAUGUAUUGAUUUUGCAUUGUUCAGUUUCUCCUUGAAAUGCUGAAAUUCCUUAUGGAGGUUUGGGUCAAACAUGAAUUUAACCAUCUUUUCUGUUGUUGAUUUAUUGAAAACAAAGUCUCAUUCUUUGAAAUACCUUAUUUCCAGUUUUAUGAAUCCUAUAUCUCCUUUUGGAUAGCAAUGUUGAUCAAGUGUUACUUUGAAACUCCAAGCUUUUAUGUACUUACUGAUUGGAUCUUCACAAAAAGAACUUGAUCUAUUACAGUUCGGUUUCUUGAAAGAAAACAGAUUUAAGCUAAAGUGCCAUUUCUUGGCGGCUUCCUAUUACGGUUUGAAAUUGGACUUCAAGCUAUUACUAAAAAUCCUUGAAUGUUCAGAUUCAUUUGGGAAAAAAAAAAAAUGUUUCCUGGAAAGACCAGAUUUGGUUUUAAAUUGUUUGAUUUGGUUAGGCCCGGGAAAAGUUAAGUAGGGAUUGUGCCUCCCUAGGGUGAAAGACCCAAAACCUGAUCAGGAUCCGCUUGUACGGGGUUUGCUCGGUGGCCUUAAUACGAGCAAUGGGCUCUAACCGGAAAAAGAAGGAUUUUCAAGGAUUUUGUUGGAAUUCUAGUCAAGAGAUUUGAACUAUUGUUGCUGGAAGUUGCAGUUAAGGAAAGAAAAGGAUUUCUGGACUUUGGUUAUAGUAAACGAAGCUAAAAGGCUUCAUGGUCUUGUUACCCUUUUGCUAGAUUUACGACUAGCUUUAUUUUUUUUUUCUUCCAAUGUAUUUGAAUGUUAUCAAGGAAGCUUUGAAUUUCCAGCGUGUUCUCCUUUUCUUGCUCA